rnacentral:tRNA from 1 species
GAUAGAAUGGCUGAAAUUUUAGGCAAUAAAUUGUAAAUUUAUUUAUGGUGAUUAACCUUCUAUCA